rnacentral:rRNA from 1 species
AUUGAACGCUGGCGGCAUGCUUAACACCUGCAAGUCGAACGAGUGGCGGACGGGUGAGUACUGUAUGGGAACCUGCCUGGUGGCGGGGGAUAACUACUGGAACCGGUAGCUAAUCCCGCAUACCCUCAGAUCGGCCCAGAUGGGAUUAGCUAGUGGGUGGGGUAAAGGCUCACCAAGGCCACGCUCCAUAGCUGGUCUGAGAGGAUGACCAGCCACACUGGAAAUGAGACACGGUCCAGAGUCCUACGGGAGGCAGCAGUGGGGAAUAUUGCACAAUGGGCGAAAUCCUGAUCCAGCCAUGCAGAGUGUAUGAAGAAGGCCUGCGGGUUGUAAAGUACUUUUGGCAGAGAAGCGGUACCCGCAGAAGAAGCACCGGCUAACUACGGGCCAGCAGCCGCGGUAAUUC